UACUUCAUUCCGUUUUCGGACUCUCUCUCUCACUCACCCUCCAACACAAACGGGCACGAAAAUCUGUCACUAACACAGACUGGCUCUCACUCCCCAUCGGCCCUCUCUCUCUUAAACACACAUACUUGCACAAAUUUCAUUUGGUUUUCGCAGAAACUCUUUUCUCUCUGUCUCUCUCAAUCACACGCGCAUACUGAACUCCGAGUACGUUGAAUAGACGAUAGAGGAAUUUCUUGAGAAUCUUGAUUGGAGGAUUUUUUUGAGGAUUUCAAGAAGAAGAAGAUGAAUCGCGACCGAUGAUUCUGACGGUGUCAACUCCGGUUCAGGAUUACGUUGCGAAGAGCCGAUGGAGGGAUUUCUUGAGAAUCUUGAUUGGAGGAUUUGUUGACGACUUCAAGAAAAGAUGAUCAGCUCUUCAUUUAUAGAAUCUAUAACAGGAGUGGGUCGAGGGACUUGCCGAAUUGGGUAUAUGCUUCAAAAGAAGCUGUGGCGUACACCACAAUGAAAAAAGAACUGUAAUCGACUGUAGGAGCCAAUGCUCCAGUCACUUGUCACUGGUUGGUUUUGGGUUGAUUGUGUUGAUGUGAGUUACGAGAAGCUGAUUGGAGGAUUUCUUGAGAAAUGCUUCUACUGAUUGUGUGAUGUGCAUAAUCAAGAGCCGAUUGGAGGAUUUCUUGAGAAAUAUUAGUACAGCAAGAUGAAGAUCUCAGAGAGGAUGGUGAAAUUUUCAUUUUUGACAUCCUGAAUGAGACUCGACGAUGCAGCUACUUGCUUGCAUAAGCACAUCACUGCGGACAAUGAUGUCAAGAAUGGUUAUGCAUAAUGUGAGAAGAGACCCAACUUUGCAUGAUGAGGGAUUGAAAAUCAGUUGCUGUAGAUUGCUAAUUAAUUUCUACUGAUCUUUGGAGAUUCUUGUGGUCUUUCUCUCUUUUAACUUGCUAAAAUUGAGGAACUUCAAUCCUCCAUUGCGGUUCGCCUUCUCUGCUCUUUUGCAUGGUUAUUUUAUGACAUUGUGGUAGUAGCGAUACAGGAAGAGAUACAAGUUAUCCCUACACGAUUCCAAUUCUUAGUUCAAGUAUUUUGGUAAGAAAUUUGUAAAUUCCAACAAAGUAAUGUGAUGAUGGCAAUGACAUCACGUGCAAUAAGUAAAAUCCAUCACUGCCAUGUCAGAUGUUGCCCGCGUGCGUAAGCAAACCAGUACAGCUUGCUUCAGAGGUGCGUGCUCUGUCCUUGGGUCUCUCGAGGCUGAUGUCAUACCAACACUCAAAUUCCAAAAUGCUAGGCUGACACGUGGAGGUCGAGGGAGGUGUCAGCCCACCACGUCCACACAAGUUUAAGAUGUUUCUUGAAUUAUUAUAUAAAGUUUGUCGUUUCCCAAUUUGAUGCGUAAACAAAUUAAGCCAAAACAAAAGUCGGUACUCGUCUAUCCCAUAAUUGUGAGCCACACCCAAUUAUAGAAUGAGUACUAUUAUACAUGCAAUUUAUUUUAUGUGACCCACUUCAUCAACUGUGGGAACCAAACUGUAAGUGAUCUCUCCCACCUCGUCAACAUCAACAAUAGUUCUUGAAUAAAUGACAAGAGUAGGGACGGAUCUAAAAAUUUAUUUAUUUGGAGGAAUUUUUUUUUAUAAUUUUUGUGUUGAGGAUUUUAAAAUUUUAUAUAUAUAAAUACAAAAAAAUAAAAAUUUACAGUAAACAUUUUAUAAUCGCAGUUGUAUAACAUUAUCGGAUGUCUUUUUUUUUUCGUUAAUUUAGGGAGGAUGGGCUAGUGUGUGUUUCAAGGUGGAUUGUGCAUGUUGCCAAAAACUGGA